CAAGGUGAGAGAUACGGAGGUAGAGCACUGAAUGUCCUAGGGGGUAUUGCACCUACCGAAGACUAUCAAACUCCGAAUGCCGUCAUCUUAUACUUGGGAGUCAGACUGUGGGUGAUAAGAUUCAUAGUCGAAAGGGCAACAGCCCAGAUCGUCAGCUAAGGUCCCUAAAUGUAAGUUAAGUGGUAAAGGAUGUGGGAUUGCACAGACAACCAGGAUGUUGGCUUAGAAGCAGCCACUCAUUCAAAGAGUGCGUAAUAGCUCACUGGUCGAGUGAUCCUGCGCCGAAGAUUUCCGGGGCUAAAACUUACUACCGAAGCUACGGCAUCAGUAAUGAUGGGUAGGGGAGCUUCCCAUACGGGUUGAAGCAUGACCGUAAGGACAUGUGGACAGGAUGGGAGUGAGAAUGUUGGCAUGAGUAGCGAGAUGUGGGUGGGAAUCCCACAGGCCGUAAACCCAAGGUUUCCAGGGGAAGGUUCGUCCGCCCUGGGUUAGUCGGGACCUAAGCUGAGGCCGAAAGGCGUAGGUGAUGGACAACAGGUUGAUAUUCCUGUACUACCGAUAACCGUUUGAGAGAAGGGAUGACACAGUAGGAUAAGCUAAGCACACUGUUGGUUAUGUGUGCCCAAGCAUUGAGGCAGUCAAAGUAGGCAAAUCCGCUUUGAUAAUGCUGGGAUGUGAUGGGGAGCGAAAUU
rnacentral:rRNA from 1 species